UACGUAGGGUGCAAGCGUUAAUCGGAAUUACUGGGCGUAAAGCGUGCGCAGGCGGUUAUGUAAGACAGGUGUGAAAUCCCCGGGCUUAACCUGGGAACUGCAUUUGUGACUGCAUAGCUAGAGUACGGUAGAGGGGGAUGGAAUUCCGCGUGUAGCAGUGAAAUGCGUAGAUAUGCGGAGGAACACCGAUGGCGAAGGCAAUCCCCUGGACCUGUACUGACGCUCAGGCACGAAAGCGUGGGGAGCAAACAGG
rnacentral:rRNA from 1 species